UACGGAGGGGACUAGCGUUGUUCGGAAUUACUGGGCGUAAAGCGCACGUAGGCGGAUUUGUAAGUCAGGGGUGAAAUCCCGGGGCUCAACCUCGGAACUGCCUUUGAUACUGCAAAUCUCGAGUCCGGAAGAGGUGAGUGGAAUUCCUAGUGUAGAGGUGAAAUUCGUAGAUAUUAGGAAGAACACCAGUGGCGAAGGCGGCUCACUGGUCCGGUACUGACGCUGAGGUGCGAAAGCCAGGGGAGCAAAGCGGGAUUAAGAAACCCC
rnacentral:rRNA from 1 species